GGGAAUUGGACAUGGGCGAAGCCUGAUCCAGCCAUGCCGCGUGUGUGAAGAAGGUCUUCGGAUUGUAAAGCACUUUAAGUUGGGAGGAAGGGCAGUAAGUUAAUACCUUGCUGUUUUGACGUUACCAACAGAAUAAGCACCGGCUAACUUCGUGCCAGCAGCCGCGGUAAUACGAAGGGUGCAAGCGUUAAUCGGAAUUACUGGGCGUAAAGCGCGCGUAGGUGG
rnacentral:rRNA from 1 species